CGAAGACCAUGUACCAAAGAAAAUGUCAUCAUCAUACCAGAAAAAAAAAUUAUUAUUGUAAUAAGUACAAUUUGUCCGGGCUCGAUUAAAAUCCAAAUAAAACAAAUAUAAAAACCAGUCCAAUAUUCGAAGGCCCAUUUUCAUGGCCCAAACCUAACUACCCAGAUGCAGGCCCAAAGCCUAGGCUUUACCCUAGCCCGAUUUCAGUAUGGCCCAGCGUAAGUAUUCAGAAGCAGUAGCCCUAGCCGCAUUCUGCUCAACGCCCCCAGCAGUCUCCAGCGUCGCCAGCAAGACUCUAAUCAGUGCACAUUUCGGAACCGACCACUCCCCACGAUACCUGCAAACACGGACU
rnacentral:lncRNA from 1 species